AGUGGCGGACGGGUGAGUAACGCGUGAGUAACCUGCCUUUGAGAGGGGAAUAACUUCCCGAAAGGGAUGCUAAUACCGCAUGACGCAUAUUUAUCGCAUGGUAGAUAUGCCAAAGAUUUAUCGCUCAAAGAUGGACUCGCGUCCGAUUAGCCAGUUGGCGGGGUAACGGCCCACCAAAGCGACGAUCGGUAGCCGGACUGAGAGGUUGAACGGCCACAUUGGGACUGAGACACGGCCCAGACUCCUACGGGAGGCAGCAGUGGGGAAUAUUGCACAAUGGGGGAAACCCUGAUGCAGCGACGCCGCGUGGAGGAAGAAGGUCUUCGGAUUGUAAACUCCUGUUGUUGGGGAAGAUAAUGACGGUACCCAACAAGGAAGUGACGGCUAACUACGUGCCAGCAGCCGCGGUAAAACGUAGGUCACAAGCGUUGUCCGGAAUUACUGGGUGUAAAGGGAGCGCAGGCGGGAAGACAAGUUGGAAGUGAAAUCUAUGGGCUCAACCCAUAAACUGCUUUCAAAACUGUUUUUCUUGAGUAGUGCAGAGGUAGGCGGAAUUCCCGGUGUAGCGGUGGAAUGCGUAGAUAUCGGGAGGAACACCAGUGGCGAAGGCGGCCUACUGGGCACCAACUGACGCUGAGGCUCGAAAGUGUGGGUAGCAAACAGGAUUAGAUACCCUGGUAGUCCACACCGUAAACGAUGAUUACUAGGUGUCGGAGGAUUGACCCCUUCAGUGCCGCAGUUAACACAAUAAGUAAUCCACCUGGGGAGUACGACCGCAAGGUUGAAACUCAAAGGAAUUGACGGGGGCCCGCACAAGCAGUGGAGUAUGUGGUUUAAUUCGACGCAACGCGAAGAACCUUACCAAGUCUUGACAUCCCUUGACAGACAUAGAAAUAUGUAAUCUCUUCGGAGCAAGGAGACAGGUGGUGCAUGGUUGUCGUCAGCUCGUGUCGUGAGAUGUUGGGUUAAGUCCCGCAACGAGCGCAACCCUUAUGGUCAGUUACUACGCAAGAGGACUCUGGCCAGACUGCCGUUGACAAAACGGAGGAAGGUGGGGAUGACGUCAAAUCAUCAUGCCCUUUAUGACUUGGGCUACACACGUACUACAAUGGCGUUAAACAAAGAGAAGCAAGACCGCGAGGUGGAGCAAAACUCAGAAACAACGUCCCAGUUCGGACUGCAGGCUGCAACUCGCCUGCACGAAGUCGGAAUUGCUAGUAAUCGUGGAUCAGCAUGCCACGGUGAAUACGUUCCCGGGCCUUGUACACACCGCCCGUCA
rnacentral:rRNA from 1 species